UACGGAGGGUGCAAGCGUUAAUCGGAAUUACUGGGCGUAAAGCGCACGCAGGUGGCUAAGUCAGUCGAUUGUGAAAGCCCUGGGCUUAACCUGGGAAUUGCAGUCGAUACUACUUAGCUAGAGUAUGGGAGAGGGCAGUGGAAUUCCCGGUGUAGCGGUGAAAUGCGCAGAUAUCAGGAGGAACACCAAUGGCGAAGGCAGCACUCUGGGACGUGACUGACGCUGAGACGCGAAAGCGUGGGGAGCAAACAGG
rnacentral:rRNA from 1 species